GACGAACGCUGGCGGCGCGCUUAACACAUGCAAGUCGAACGGAAUGGCCCUGCUUUUCCGUGUUGCUCGAGUGGCGAACGGGUGCGUAACACGUGAGUCUCCUGCCCUUGACUUUGGGAUAACUUCAGGAAACCUGUUCUAAUACCGGAUAGGAUCUCCUGCUGCACGGUGGGGUUUUGAAAGUUUCGCCGGCUGGCGAUCGACUCGCGGUUUAUCAGCUCGUUGGUGGGUUAGUGGCUUACCAAGGCUUUGACGUCUACCCCGCCUGAGAGGGUGAUCGGCUACACUGGGACUGACACACCGCCCAGACUCCUACGGGCGGCAGCAGUGGGGAAUAUUGCCCAAUGGGCCGAAGCCUGACGCAGGAACGCCGCGUGCGUAGUUACGGCCGUCGGGUUGUAGACCGCUUUCGACUGUUACGAAGCGUGAGUGACGGUAAUGGGUAGAGAAGCACCGGCUAACUACGUG
rnacentral:rRNA from 1 species